UACAGAGGUCCCAAGCGUUGUUCGGAUUCACUGGGCGUAAAGGGUGCGUAGGCGGCGGGGAAAGUUCUAGGUGAAAUCUCCAGGCUCAACUUGGAAAAUGCCUCGAAAACUUCCUCGCUCGAGGGUUGCAGAGGAGAUUGGAAUUCUCGGUGUAGCAGUGAAAUGCGUAGAUAUGCGGAGGAACACCGAUGGCGAAGGCAAUCCCCUGGGCCUGUACUGACGCUCAUGCACGAAAGCGUGGGGAGCAAACAGG
rnacentral:rRNA from 1 species